rnacentral:rRNA from 1 species
GGUCCAGCCUGCCCAGUGAUUUUAUUCAACGGCCGCGGUAUUCUAACCGUGCAAAGGUAGCGUAAUCACUUGUCUUCUAAAUAAAGACCAGUAUGAAAGGCAUCACGAAGACUCAGCUGUCUCCUUUCUCCAAUCAGUGAACCUAAUCUCCCCGUGAAGAAGCGGGGAUCUUAUUAUAAGACGAGAAGACCCUGUGGAGCUUAAAACAUAAUAACAACUGCCACUACUAUUAACCACCCAGAUGUCUCCCCCAGCGGCACUCUGAUUAUAUGUUUUUGGUUGGGGUGACCGCGGAGAAAAACUUAUCCUCCACAAUGAAAGGGACUUCCCACCUAAACAACAAGUUACAACUUUACGUAUCAAAAAAUUGACACUCAUUGACCCAAUAAAUUGAUUAAUGAACCAAGUUACCCCAGGGAUAACAGCACAAUCCACUUUAAGAGCCCCUAUCGACAAGUGGGCUUAUGACCUCGAUGUUGGAUCGGGAUGUCCCAGUGGUGCAGCCGCUACUAAGGGUUCGUUUGUUCAACGAUUAAAACCCCACGUGAUCUA